GUCCGCGUGGCCCAGUGGAUAAGGCGUUCGCUUCCUAAGCGAAAGAUCGUGGGUUCGAUCCCCACCGUGGACU